rnacentral:rRNA from 1 species
UACGUAGGCAGCGAGCGUUGUUCGGAGUUACUGGGCGUAAAGAGUGCGUAGGCGGUUUUCUAAGUUUGGUGUGAAAUCUCCCGGCUUAACUGGGAGGGUGCGCCGAAGACUGGAAGGCUUGAGUAUGGGAGAGGUAAGCGGAAUUCCUGGUGUAGCGGUGAAAUGCGUAGAUAUCAGGAGGAAUACCGGUGGUGCAGACGGCUCUCUGGACCGCAACUGACGCUGAGACACGAAAGCGUGGGUAGCAAACAGG